rnacentral:rRNA from 1 species
UAGUAACUGCGAGUGAAGCGGGAAAAGCUCAAAUUUAAAAUCUGGCGGUCUUUGGCCGUCCGAGUUGUAGUCUGGAGAAGCGUCUUCCGCGCUGGACCGUGUAUAAGUCUCUUGGAACAGAGCGUCAUAGAGGGUGAGAAUCCCGUCUUUGACACGGACUACCAGUGCUUUGUGAUGCGCUCUCAAAGAGUCGAGUUGUUUGGGAAUGCAGCUCAAAAUGGGUGGUGAAUUCCAUCUAAAGCUAAAUAUUGGCGAGAGACCGAUAGCGAACAAGUACCGUGAGGGAAAGAUGAAAAGCACUUUGGAAAGAGAGUUAAACAGUACGUGAAAUUGCUGAAAGGGAAACGCUUGAAGUCAGUCGCGUUGUCCGGGACUCAGCCUUGCUUCGGCUUGGUGCACUUUCCGGAUGACGGGCCAGCAUCGAUUUUGACCGCCGGAAAAGGGCUGGAGGAAUGUGGCACCUUCGGGUGUGUUAUAGCCUCCAGUCGCAUACGGCGGUUGGGAUCGAGGAACGCAGCACGCCUUAUGGCGGGGGGUUUACCCUACCUUCGUGCUUAGGAUGCUGGCAUAAUGGCUUUAAAC